AUGUGGUUCAAGUGGUAGUGAGCUCGCCUGGCAUGCGUGCCGCCCGGGUUCGAUCCUCAGCACCACAUA
rnacentral:tRNA from 1 species